CCUACGGGAGGCUGCAGUGAGGAAUAUUGGUCAAUGGUCGGGAGACUGAACCAGCCAAGCCGCGUGAGGGAUGAAGGUACAGAGUAUCGUAAACCUCUUUUGUCAGGGAACAAAGGCGGGGACGUGUCCCCGGAUGAGUGUACCUGAAGAAAAAGCAUCGGCUAACUCCGUCCAAGCAGCCGCGGUAAUCCGGAGGAUGCGAGAGUUAUCGGGAUUUAUGGGGUUAAAAGGGUGCGCAGGCGGUCUGUUAAGUCAGCGGUAAAAGCCCGGGGCGAAACCCCGGCCCGCCGUUGAAACUGGCAGUCUCGAGUUGGAGAGAGGUAUGCGGAAUGCGCGGUGUAGCGGUGAAAUGCAUAGAUAUCGCGCAGAACUCCGAUUGCGAAGGCAGCAUGCCGGCUCCACACUGACGCUGAGGCACGAAAGCGUGGGUAUCGAACAGGAUUAGAUACCCCAGUAGUC
rnacentral:rRNA from 1 species